GUAGACUGAGGCUGUGUUUUGGAAAGUAACAGGUAACAGGCUUGGAUGGGAAGAAUGAGAUAAAGAGAAGAAGAAAUAAGAACAGUUCUUGAGAUUUUUGAAGGUUCUAGGGCUUCUCUGGUGGCUCAGUGGUAAAGAGUCUGCCUUCUAAGGCAGGAGACACAGGUUCGAUCCCUGGUCUGGGAAGAUCCCACAUGCCGCGGAGCAGCUAAGCCCGUGUGCCACAGCUACUGAGCCUGUGCUCCACAUCAGCGGAAGACACCACACUGAGAAGCCCAAGCGCCACAGCUAGAGGGUAGCCCCUGCUCGCCACAGCUAGAGACAAGCCUGAGCAGUAACGAAGACCCAGCAAAGCCAAAAAGAGAUACAUAAGAUUAUAAAAUAAAUAAAUAAAUGUUAUCUCACUUGAA
ensembl:lncRNA